UACGUAGGGUGCAAGCGUUGUCCGGAAUUAUUGGGCGUAAAGAGCUCGUAGGCGGUCUGUCGCGUCGGCUGUGAAAACCCGGGGCUCAACCCCGGGCCUGCAGUCGAUACGGGCAGACUAGAGUGCGGUAGGGGAGACUGGAAUUCCUGGUGUAGCGGUGAAAUGCGCAGAUAUCGGGAGGAACACCGGUGGCGAAGGCGGGUCUCUGGGCAGUAACUGACGCUGAGGAGCGAAAGCGUGGGGAGCGAACAGG
rnacentral:rRNA from 1 species